rnacentral:tRNA from 1 species
GCCCAGCUAGCUCAGUCGGUAGAGCACAAAACUCUUAAUCUCGGGGUCAUGGGUUCAAGCCCCACGUUGGGCG